GGUGGAGCAAAACUACAAAAACUUAGUCUCAGUUCGGAUUGUAGGCUGAAACUCGCCUACAUGAAGCUGGAGUUGCUAGUAAUCGCGAAUCAGCAUGUCGCGGUGAAUACGUUCCCGGGCCUUGUACACACCGCCCGUCACACCAUGGGAGUUUGUAACACCCGAAGUCAGUAUCCUAACCGCAAGGGGGGAGCUGCCGAAGGUGGGAUAAGCGACUGGGGUGAAGUCGUAACAAGGUACC
rnacentral:rRNA from 1 species